GACGAACGCUGGCGGCGUGCUUAACACAUGCAAGUCGAACGGAAAGGCCCUGCUUUUGUUGGGUGCUCGAGUGGCGAACGGGUGAGUAACACGUGAGUAACCUGCCCUUGACUUUGGGAUAACUUCAGGAAACUGUGGCUAAUACCGGAUAGGAGCUCCUGCUGCAUGGGGGGGGUUGGAAAGCUUCGGCGGUUGGGGAUGGACUCGCGGCUUAUCAGCUUGUUGGUGGGGUAGUGGCUUACCAAGGCUUUGACGGGUAGCCGGCCUGAGAGGGGGACCGGCCACAAUGGGACUGAGAGACGGCCCAGACUCCUACGGGAGGCAGCAGGGGGGAAUAUUGCACAAUGGGCGGAAGCCUGAUGCAGCAACGCCGCGUGCGGGAUGACGGCCUUCGGGUUGUAAACCGCUUUCGCCUGUGACGAAGCGUGAGUGACGGUAAUGGGUAAAGAAGCACCGGCUAACUACGUG
rnacentral:rRNA from 1 species